rnacentral:rRNA from 1 species
CCUACGGGAGGCAGCAGUCGAGAAUCAUUCACAAUGGGGGGAACCCUGAUGGUGCGACGCCGCGUGGGGGAAUGAAGCUCUUCGGAUUGUAAACCCCUGUUAUGUGGGAGCAAAUCAAAAAGCUAGUACCACACUAGGAAGACACUGCUAACUCUGUGCCAGCAACCGCGGUCAUACAGAGGGCUCAAGCGUUGUUCGGAAUCAAUGGGCGUAAAGGGUGCGUAGGCUGUUGCGUAAGUGGUGUGUGAAAGGUGCGGGCUUAAACCGCGGACGGCACAUGAUACUGCGGGACUAGAGUGAUGGAGGGGGAAGCGGAAUGCACGGUGUAGCAGUGAAAUGCGUAGAUAUCAAGCGGAACA